rnacentral:misc_RNA from 1 species
AAGUCGUAACAAGGUCUCCGUAGGUGAACCUGCGGAGGGAUCAUUACCAGAGCUUGGGGUCUCCGGCCCCAUCCUCCCACCCAAUGUUGUCGCAUCAGACGAUCCGGUGCCUCGGGGGCGACCCGGCCCUCGGGCGGGCCCCCCGGCGGACAACCGCCCAACUCUGAGACACGUCGUCCUGUAUACAAAACAAAUGAAACAAAACUUUCAACAAUGGAUCUCUUGGUUCUG